UUCUCUCCUUGCCUUCUUGUCUAUUCUUAUCUUUUCUCUAUUUCUUUUCUAGAUUCUGUGUAACAGAGCUCUGCUCUUGUUUCAGUAUCUUAUGGUUCCGAACCCCCAACUGAUGCUUACGGUGCCUGGUCAGUGGAGAAGGAGGCCGCGCGACCGUGGGGGUUUUGUAAUUCUGGGCAUCAACUUUUGGCAAAUGAUGAGCAUUUGUCUAGUCGGUAUUAGAUGCUACUGCAGAAAAAACCUAUUUUUUCUGGGUUAAAGGAACUCGCCAUAGAAAAGUGUUUUUGCAGGAGGGUUCAACCACCGUUUCAUCAAUUCCCCGGUAGCAACAACAACAAUAACAGGUUUUUUAACGCUGGGGUUUCGAUUGCAGAAAAAACUUGUUAUGGUUGUUACUGCCGGGUAAUUGAUGAAUCGGUGGUAGAACCCUCUUGCAAAAACACCUUUCUAUGACGAGUUCCUUUAACCAGAAAAAAUAGGUUUUUUCUGCAGUAGCAUUUGAUACUGACUCGACCAAUGCUCAUCAUUUGCCAAAAGGUUGAUGCCCAGAAUUUCAAAACCUUGGCGAUCGUACGGCCUCCUUCUCCACUGGUCGGGCGUUAUAAGCAUCACUUGGGGGUUCAAGACCAUAAGAUACUAGCUAGGCUCAAGGCUCAUCUCACCAAAGAGGAGGAUGAUAUGAUCAUGCGACUUGUUGAGUGUUCUAGGGAACAGCAAAUUCCGCCUGCUUUCAUCAAUGAAAACAAGAAGAUGCUGGCGAAGACCUGCUUACUGCACAAGAAUGAAGGGGUGUUGUGGGAAGGAAAGAUAAUGAGAAAGAAUUCCAAUUUCUUCAUCUGUGAAGGAGACUGGCCACAGUUUGUGGUCUAUCACAAACUGAAGCCAGAGGACAUCUUGCUCUUCUUACUUGUUGACAAAUCGACGUUCCUAGUCAUGCCCUACACCAAAAAAAUGGUAGAAGCUUUCACGGGAUGCAACCUUUGAAGGAACUCAGUAGCAGCUAGGAAGAGGAGAGAGAGGAGGAUAUUGAACCUUCAAUAAAUCUGAAAGAAUCAUCAGACUCUGAGGAAGAAAGCAUUGAUCCUCCUGUUAUGUGGAAUAUCCUAUCUACUCAUAUUUAGGUAACGUCGUUUCUUUAUGCAUUUGGUGUUGUUUGAUCAUACAGGCUAACUUGGAUACAGGAGUCCUAACUGUUGUUGUACCUGUAUUAAAUUUGCUAUAUUUGUUAUUCUUUUAGGGUGUGUUUGUUACGAUUGAAAAUGUUAUCUUAGAAAACAAGUGGGUUUCUUACUUAUUUUCUAAUGUUUGGUAAGUAAACAAAAACAUAUUAUCCCAAGGGCAUGUAUAUGUAAUCUAGCGAAACACUAAGGGAGUGGGGUGGGGUGGAGAGCGGCGGUUCGAAGGUGGCGGUGGUGGAUGUUCAAGGGGUGGGGGUUGGGAGCAUUGGGUGGGCGGGGAGGAUACAAUGAACUUGAAAUAUCACUUAUAAAACUUGUUUUCCCUCCUUCCAUUAGUAAAGUCAUUUUCCUCAUUUUUGUAGAGCUUGUUUUCCUAGAUAAAAUAUUUUCCAUAAUAUUUUGACCAAUCAAACAUGGGAAAAUUGGAAAUUUCCUCCAUACCAAACACACUCUUGGAGACAUGUAUGUUAUCCUGACUAUAAUAUUAAAUUUGCUGUCUUUCGUUCAUUUUCUCAACCCUAAAAGUUUCAUCAUGACAGGAGCUAAAUCCAAUGUCAAAGCUGAUGACGAAAUGAUCCGCUCGAAGAAGAGAUGUUUCGGUGGCUUGUCAGUGAUCUUUACAACCCUAAGAGGCCUCUAGGUUCUUACAUCGUUUUCAUGGAGGAGUUUAACAAGCAGUACCUGGAGGUGAAUACAAACAUCAAAUCUUUUGACGCCAUCGAGAAGUUGGUGGAGGCAAGUGGAAACAGAUGUCAGAUGCUGAGAAAGCUCCUUAUAUAGCAGAGGCACAGAAUAGGAGGGUCGAAUAUGCAAAGAUCUUGAACUCUUAUAACCCGCUGAUGGCUGCCGAAGAAGAGUGACAAGUCAAGAUCUGAGGUUGCUCCAUCCAAAGAUGGGGAAAAUCCUUGCUACGCACAUUUAGG